rnacentral:rRNA from 1 species
AUUGAACGCUGGCGGCAUGCCUUACACAUGCAAGUCGAACGGCAGCAUGGAGAGCUUGCUCUCUGAUGGCGAGUGGCGAACGGGUGAGUAAAGCAUCGGAACGUACCGUGUAGUGGGGGAUAACGUAGCGAAAGUUACGCUAAUACCGCAUACGCACUGAGGUGGAAAGCAGGGGAUCGCAAGACCUUGCGCUAUACGAGCGACCGAUGUCAGAUUAGCUAGUUGGUAGGGUAAAGGCCUACCAAGGCGACGAUCUGUAGCGGGUCUGAGAGGAUGAUCCGCCACACUGGGACUGAGACACGGCCCAGACUCCUACGGGAGGCAGCAGUGGGGAAUUUUGGACAAUGGGGGCAACCCUGAUCCAGCCAUGCCGCGUGAGUGAAGAAGGCCUUCGGGUUGUAAAGCUCUUUCGGCCGGGAAGAAAUCGCACAGGCUAAUAUCCUGUGUGGAUGACGGUACCGGCAUAAGAAGCACCGGCUAACUACGUG